rnacentral:rRNA from 1 species
UACAGAGGUCUCAAGCGUUGUUCGGAAUCAUUGGGCGUAAAGCGCACGUAGGCGGUCUGUUAUGUCGGAUGUGAAAGCCCUCGGCUCAACUGAGGAAGUGCAUUCGAAACUGCCAGCCUUGAGUGGUGGAGAGGGAAGUGGAAUUCCUGGUGUAGAGGUGAAAUUCGUAGAUAUCAGGAGGAACACCAGUGGCGAAGGCGGCUUCCUGGACACCAACUGACGCUGAGACGCGAAAGCGUGGGGAGCAAACAGG